rnacentral:rRNA from 1 species
AUGGACCAGUACAACUACGGCGGCGGCGUGGCCUACUACGGCAGCACCACCGGCGGCGUAGGCGACAACGGCCAGGGCGGCGGGUACGCGACGGUGACGUCGGCGCCGCCGAAGCGGCCGGCGGGGCGGACCAAGUUCCGGGAGACGCGCCACCCGGUGUACCGGGGCGUGCGCCGGCGCGGCGCGGCCGGGCGGUGGGUGUGCGAGGUGCGCGAGCCCAACAAGAAGUCCCGCAUCUGGCUCGGCACCUUCGCCAGCCCCGAGGCCGCGGCCCGCGCCCACGACGUCGCCGCGCUCGCGCUCCGGGGCCGCGCCGCCUGCCUCAACUUCGCCGACUCGGCCACGCUGCUCGCCGUCGACCCCGCCACGCUCCGCACCCCCGACGACAUCCGCGCCGCCGCCAUCGCGCUCGCCGAGACCGCGUGCCCCGCCGCGCCCGCGUCCUCGUCGUCCGUGGCCGCCGCCGUGGCGUCCGCGCCGGCGCCCCCGAUGACGAUGAUGCAGUUUGACGACUACGCGAUGCAGUACGGCGGCAUUGGGGACUUGGACCAGCAUUCCUACUACUACGACGGGUUGAGCGCCGCCGGUGGCGACUGGCCGAGCGGCUCGCACAUGGACGGAGCCGACGACGACUGCAACGGCAGCGGUGGCUACGGCGCCGGCGAGGUCGCGCUCUGGAGCUACUGA